rnacentral:rRNA from 1 species
GUCUACAGCCAUACCACCCUGAAUGUGCCCGAUCUUGUCUGAUCUUGGAAGCUAAGCAGGGUCGGGCCUCGUUAGUACUUGGAUGGGAGACUGUUUCCA